CGGCUGCACCUCCGGCGACCAACCCUUCGCGAAAAUCGCGACACCACGAGCACCGACGACAAAUCCCAUCGCCAAGGUCUCUCGCUCUCUUUUUCAUGCUUCUCUUCCUUUGUCUAAUUUCUCUUUCCUGUAUCGUCACACAAAUCGAAAUCCAAUAGGGAUUUGAUACCCUCUCCACCCACAUGGGUUUAGCUCAUUUGCACAAUAGGGGAAACCAGCCCAAUUACCUAGGUAUUAAUCCGGUAAUUAUAUAAACUUGGCAUUUCAAUUUCAGGUUUAAGGGAAAGAAUGAAAACUUUAUGUGAUUGUGUAACUUGGUUGUGGUGGCACUUAAUUUGCUUAAUGAUUCACCUCUGUAUGCUUCCUUUGCAAUUUUUAGUUCUUCCUAAUUAGUUCUUGUCGGAGUUGGACAAUUUUUGCUUUCUACUAAUUUCUGUUUUUGGUAUCAUUGUCCUAUAGUUUGAUUUGAGAAAUGCAUGAUUAUUAAUGUAAUGCAAGGUUGGACAAUUGCAGUUUGUUUUUGUUCCUAUUAAACUGGUGGCCCCUGGACAAUUGCAUGAUUAUGGUGAUGGGUGGUUUAAUUCGAUAAUUGUGAAAACUAUGUUGUAACAUUGGUAAAAUGAGUAGGGAACACAGCGGGAAAGUGUUCUUAGUUAUUAGGUAAGUUUGGUUUCCAUUUACUGUCUUAGUUCACAAGAAAAUCAUCCGAAUCUUACUACAAAUCUUUAUUGAUCUGUGCUUUUCAUUUUAUUUAGAAAUUGAAACAACUUCGGAAAACGACAAUGAAACAUCCAUAUGGUGCUCGAGUGUUAUGUUUUCCUAUAAAAGUAUUCUUUUUGAUUGUUUCGUCAUUAUAGUUUCUCACUCAAAUACACUGAUUUGGCAUAUAUCGUGAUUGGUUGAACUACAGACUCAGCUAAGGGACUGAAAGACACAAGUUCACAGCAUGAAGGGGCACUAAAGACAACUGCGCUACAUGGAGAAAGUUCUGACCCCGAGGUCUUUCUACCAAACUAAGUGAAGGUGUGAACCAAGGAAGGAUAACAUACUACAAGUGGUGAAGAACCGAGGCAAUGGUCAAGCAAUUAAGUCCCAAGUUGUGCUCAGCAUCAUGGAGAAUUGAAGAUCCAUUAGAAUGGUCUGUACGCAACUCAAACAAAGAUGCUAAAUCAUUUGGUGGCAAAGAAGAGUAGAAUCCUUUGAUAGCAAAUAAAAUGGAGAUGUAAUUACUAGGUCUAUUUGUCCUACAAUUGAAAUACUGGAAUGUAAUCUAUUUUUGUUUUGCAAAUGAGGUUUAAACCAUUAGAGAGGAGAAUGUACUCUUAUUUA